GGUGGAGUUGCUCGCUACUUUCUGUUCGUUCACACCGUUUGGGUCUCUUAGGUAUACGGUGCGGUGCCCAUCCUUGUCCUCUGCUCAAGACCCCGAGAGAGAGAGAAAGAGAGAGAGAGAGAGAAGGGCUAUGGAGGAGAAGUACUGGGACCUGGUGCUUGUUCCCUUGGGUCUCUUGGUGUUGGCUACCUACCACUCGUGGCUCCUUCUCACCAUACUCCGGCAUCCAAAGCGCACCGUCAUCGGCCUCAACGCCCUCGCCAGGCAACGCUGGGUCAGAGCCAUGAUGGCCGUGAGUUUCUCCCAUCUUCUCUUCUCUAUGCAUCUAUUUGUCUUGGUUCGCUUCACUUCUUUUGGGGGAAUUUCCAUAUCAAGAGGCUAAUCCGAUAGAUAGAUUUCUUGGACAUUCUCAUCGAGUAAGCCUGCUAACAAUUGACGAAGCAGUCACAGUUUCCAGGUGUAAUUGAUCACCCCGGUUCAAUUUGAAAAAGAUUGUAUUAAGAAAGUGCUGUUGAUUGCAUCCCUCUACUACUUUAGCUCAAAGCAUCAAAGGAUGCAGUAUAGAGAAUUCUCAAUUCUAGGAGCAAAAUUUGGGGUUCCAGGUGUUGGAGGAGGGGUGUUCCUUGGUUCAUUUUAGGAGGCUAAUGGGUGUUCUGUUACCACCUUGUGGAGGAGAAUCUUCCACCAUGCGACAGGUCGGUAAAGUGAUGGAUGCGACCAAAGUGAACCUACGGCAGCUGUAAUCUCUCACGGGUCUCCUUGCACUGGCAUCGAGAACAGUGCAUUUAACGAAGCAACGUGAUUGAUGAGCGAAAAAAAAGGACAACUGAGUGGCUCCUUGAUUGAUUUUUCCGAGUUACUGUAGAAUUGUUCUUUUUCUACGAGUCACGGAGUUUGGCAUGUGCAACGAGCUUUGAGAGGAAGCUGUGAUGACUGCAAUCAUUCACGUGCAUGCAUACUUUUGUCACUUAAGGUGUAAGAACCAGGUCUGCUGCUUGGCUUGGACCAAAGUUGGCAGGCCUAAUGGGCUUUGAUUCAAGAGCUUUUAGAAAUAAAGGAUUAUGAUCCCCUGCUUUUCGAAUGGUUUGAAUGGCCGUCGCAGCCGGUGCCAACGGCCAGUGGCCGUUAGAGGCGAUUGCAACCACCAAACGGUCGGCCGUUGCCCGAGCUUAUCCCCUCCAACCGACGAACGGCCAGCCAUUACGGCCGUUGCGUUCGAGCUUAUCCCCUUCUUUCGGGGUUAUAAAAACCCUCGAUUAUCUAUCCGAUCCGCCACCUCCUUUCUUCUUCCUUCUCCCUCCUCC
rnacentral:lncRNA from 1 species